rnacentral:rRNA from 1 species
AGAGUUUGAUCCUGGCUCAGAUUGAACGCUGGCGGCAUGCUUUACACAUGCAAGUCGAACGGUAACAGGUCUUCGGAUGCUGACGAGUGGCGAACGGGUGAGUAAUGCAUCGGAACGUGCCCAGUCGUGGGGGAUAACGCAGCGAAAGCUGCGCUAAUACCGCAUACGAUCUAUGGAUGAAAGAGGGGGACCGCAAGGCCUCGCGCGAUUGGAGCGGCCGAUGUCAGAUUAGGUAGUUGGUGGGGUAAAGGCUCACCAAGCCAACGAUCUGUAGCUGGUCUGAGAGGACGACCAGCCACACUGGAACUGAGACACGGUCCAGACUCCUACGGGAGGCAGCAGUGGGGAAUUUUGGACAAUGGGCGCAAGCCUGAUCCAGCAAUGCCGCGUGCAGGAAGAAGGCCUUCGGGUUGUAAACUGCUUUUGUACGGAACGAAACGGUCUGAGUUAAUACCUCGGGCUAAUGACGGUACCGUAAGAAUAAGCACCGGCUAACUACGUGCCAGCAGCCGCGGUAAUACGUAGGGUGCAAGCGUUAAUCGGAAUUACUGGGCGUAAAGCGUGCGCAGGCGGUGAUGUAAGACAGUCGUGAAAUCCCCGGGCUCAACCUGGGAAUUGCGAUUGUGACUGCAUCGCUGGAGUGCGGCAGAGGGGGAUGGAAUUCCGCGUGUAGCAGUGAAAUGCGUAGAUAUGCGGAGGAACACCGAUGGCGAAGGCAAUCCCCUGGGCCUGCACUGACGCUCAUGCACGAAAGCGUGGGGAGCAAACAGGAUUAGAUACCCUGGUAGUCCACGCCCUAAACGAUGUCAACUGGUUGUUGGGUCUCUUCUGACUCAGUAACGAAGCUAACGCGUGAAGUUGACCGCCUGGGGAGUACGG